GACGAACGCUGGCGGCGUGCCUAACACAUGCAAGUCGAACGAAGUGGCGAACGGGUGAGUAAAGCGUAAUCAACCUGCCCUUCAGAGGGGGAUAACAGUUGGAAACGACUGAUAAUACCGCAUAUCGAAGGAGGGGCUGGCGUUUGUUUAGCUAGUUGGAGGGGUAACGGCCCACCAAGGCGAUGAUCAGUAGCCGGGCUGAGAGGAUGAUCAGUCACACUGGAACUGAGACACGGUCCAGACUCCUACGGGAGGCAGCAGUGGGGAAUAUUGGACAAUGGGCGAAAGCCUGAUCCAGCCAUGCCGCGUGUGUGAAGAAGGUCUUCGGAUUGUAAAGCACUUUAGUUUGGGAGGCGUUACCAACAGAAUAAGCACCGGCUAACUUCGUGCCAGCAGCCGCGGUAAUAC
rnacentral:rRNA from 1 species